GGAAGGGGUGUAUUUAUUAGAUAAAAAACCAAUGCCCCUCGGGGCUCCUUGGUGAUUCAUAAUAACUUAACGAAUCGCAUGGCCUUGCGCCGGCGAUGGUUCAUUCAAAUUUCUGCCCUAUCAACUUUCGAUGGUAGGAUAGUGGCCUACCAUGGUGGCAACGGGUAACGGGGAAUUAGGGUUCGAUUCCGGAGAGGGAGCCUGAGAAACGGCUACCACAUCCAAGGAAGGCAGCAGGCGCGCAAAUUACCCAAUCCCGACACGGGGAGGUAGUGACAAUAAAUACUGAUACGGGGCUCUUUUGGGUCUCGUAAUUGGAAUGAGAACAAUUUAAAUCCCUUAACGAGGAACAAUUGGAGGGCAAGUCUGGUGCCAGCAGCCGCGGUAAUCCCAGCUCCAAUAGCGUAUAUUAAAGUUGUUGCAGUUAAAAAGCUCGUAGUUGAACCUUGGGUCUGGCUGGCCGGUCCGCCUCACCGCGAGUACUGGUCCGGCUGGACUUUCCUUCUGGGGAACCCAUGGCCUUCACUGGCUGUGGGGGGAACCAGGACUUUUACUGUGAAAAAAUUAGAGUGUUCAAAGCA
rnacentral:rRNA from 1 species